CACCCCAAAAAAAUCAUUUUAUGCCCCCCAGUAGGGUAGCAUAAAGCAGUUGAACUGUCCGUCAGUGUCAGUCAGUCUGUCUGUCCAUUCGGAAAAACAACAACAUUCGCCAUAACUUUUUCACUUUUUAAGAUAGCAACUAGAUAUUUGGCAUGCAUGUGUAUCUCAUGGAGCUGCACAUUUUGAGUGGUGUAUGGUCAUCCUUCAAGGUCCAAUGUCAAAUUUAUGGUGUCUGUCCGUCCGAAAACUUUAACAUUGGCCAUAACUUUUCAAUAUUGAAGAUAGCAACUUGAUAUUUGGCAUGCAUGUUUAUCUCAUGGAGCUGAACAUUUUGAGUGGUGAAAGGUCAAGGUCAUCCUUCAAGGUCAAAUGUCCAAUUUAUGGUGUCUGUCCGUCUGAAAACUUUAACAUUGGCCAUAACUUUUUCAAUAUUGAAGAUAGCAACUUGAUAUUUUGCAUGCAUGUGUAUCUCAUGGAGCUAAACAUUUUGAGUGGUGAAAGGUGAAGGUAAUCCUUCAAGGUCAAAUGUCAAAUAUAUGGCGUCUGUCCGUCCGAAAACUUUAACAUUGGCCAUAACUUUUUUAAUAUUGAAGAUAGCAACUUGAUAUUUGGCAUGCAUGUGUAUCUCAUGAAGCUGCACAUUUUGAAUGGAGGAAGUUCAAGGUCAAGGUCAUCCUUCAAGGUAAAAAAAAUAAUAAAUCAAAGCGGCGUUCUCAUGAAGCUGCACAUUUUGAGUGGUGGAAGUUCAAGGUCAUCCUUCAAGGUCAAGGUCAUCCAUCAAGGUCAAAGGUAAAAAAACAAAUAUAAAAUUUCAAAGCGGCAUUAUCAUUAAGCUGCACAUUUUGAGUGGUGGAAGUUCAAGGUCAAGGUCAUCCUUCAAGGUCAAAAAAAAAAAAUAAACAAAUUUCAAAGCGGCGUUCUCAUGAAGCUGCCCAUUGUGAGUGGUGGAAGUUCAAGGUCAAGGCCAUCCUUCAAGGUCAAGGUCAUCCUUCAUGGUCAAAGGUCCAAAAAAAUAAUUCAAAGCGGCGUUCUCAUGAAGCUGCACAUUUUGAGCGGUGGAAGUUCAAAGUCAAGGUCAUUCUUCAAGGUCAAGGUCAUCCUUCAAGGUCAAAGGUAAAAAAAAAAUUUAUUAUUUCAAAGCGGCGUUAUCAUGAAGCUGCACAUUUUGAGUGUUGGAAGUUAAAGGUCAAGGUCAUCCUUCAAGGUCAAGGUCAUCCUUCAAGGUCAAAUGUCAAACAAAUAAUAUUUCAAAGCGGCCUUCUCAUAAAGCUGCACAUUUUGAGUGGUGGAAGUUCAAGGUCAAGGUCAUCCUUCAAGGUCAAAGGAAAAAAAACAACAAUUAACAUUUUCAAAGCGGCGCAAUAGGGGGCAUUGUGUUUCUGACAAACACAUCGCUUGUUUUUUUCCAACAUGGUUAAAAAACACAAAUAUUUAUUUUUAUUAUUUAUUUGAAAUACCGUCCAACCAUCCCACCCAAGAAUCCCUCCCCCCCCCCCCCAAAAAAAAAACAAACUUUUUUUUGCAUUUUUUUUGCAUUUUUGGAAGAUAAUGUAAUAAAUGACCACACCACCACACUAUACACCCCUCUCCACUCCAACCCUUUCUCCUUUGUGAUUGAAAUUGAGAUAGGUCCCUACACCUUUAUAAAGAAAAAUAGAUGAGGGGUUAUUACUUAUUAGUUUUAUUAGUUAUUCAUGCGGCGCAGUAGUGGCAAUGGGUUUCUGACAAACACAUCUCUUGUUGAGUCACUAGGUCAAAGGUUACAAAGGUCAAGGUCACUGUGACCUCUAAAAAAAAAAUUCUGACAAGCUUUCGCAGCCGAGCGUGGCACCCGUUAUGCGGUGCUCUUGUUUUAAAUUGUGUGGUAGAUUGAUAAAAUUUAUACAUCAAAAUAACAAUACAGAUAUUUGGAAACAAUAGAAGUAUUGGUCUAUAUUUUUAAUUCCGUAUUAAAUUCAAUUUUAAAAAUAAUGUGUUUAUAUUUUCGUCUACUCCAAAUAAUCAUUUUGAAUAAGCAAAUAUAGGGUAAUAAUCUCUAUGGAAAGUACACGUAGGAACUUAUCAAUCGCUUGUGUACUUCAUAUUGAUCAGGGUCUUUGUAAAUUAUUGCAUGAUUGUUUAUGCCUAUGUCUGAAUUGUGUAAAUAUCUUCAAAAGCAUUAGAUAACUGUAAAGAGGAUUUUAAUUUUAAAAUGUUUAAAUAUUAUCUAAACUGUAACCAGGCAUCUGUUGCAUUUAUUUGAACAUGCUUAAAUUUUCUUGCAUUCUGAAUGUUAUAUUGUCUAUAAACGUUCGUAUUUUUACUUUUUAUUGUGGUUGUUUUGUUAAGACAAAGUACAUAACACUAAUCCUGUUGUUUUGUUCAACCAUUUCUAUAAAAAUGUUGUAUGUAAAUAAUUGAACAUGUUUAUGUUGGUGAUAUGCAUUUCCCGAUAUAAGUUUGUUGUUGCACUCUCGAUAAAGUGCAUAGCCAUUCAUGUGUAAUAUUAUUGAUAAGUGACACUUUGUUGUUAUUACGAAUAAAAAUCUCCAAUGAU